rnacentral:lncRNA from 1 species
GCAAGGUUUACAAAUAUUGCCAUGUAUAUAUUUUAAAACAGAAAUUAAAUAUUUGUUUGCAGUUGGACUUAUAUUAUGAAAUAAAAUUUGAAAUUUGAAAAACAGAAAAGAAAAAAAAUUUAUUCGCAACCGCUGCCCCUCCCCUAAAACCCCACUACGUUCCAAGGAUGCCAUCUCUCUCUCUCUUCCUCUUCCUCCCC